rnacentral:rRNA from 1 species
AAAACUUUUAACAACGGAUCUCUUGGUUCUGGCAUCGAUGAAGACCGCAGCU